GAGUAGCCGUGUGAAGCGAAAGUUUCACGCACGGUUCCGAAUGGGAGGGAGAAGAUGGUAACAUCUUCUUUCGACCCUAC
rnacentral:ncRNA from 1 species